UACGGAGGGGACGAGCGUUGUUCGGAAUUACUGGGCGUAAAGCGCACGCAGGCGGACUUGUAAGUCCGGGGUGAAAUCCCGAGGCUCAACCUCGGAACUGCCUUUGAUACUGCAAAUCUCGAGUCCGGAAGAGGUGAGUGGAAUUCCUAGUGUAGAGGUGAAAUUCGUAGAUAUUGGGAGGAACACCGGUGGCGAAGGCGGCUCACUGGACCGGUACUGACGCUGAGGCGCGAAAGCGUGGGGAGCAAACGGG
rnacentral:rRNA from 1 species